rnacentral:misc_RNA from 1 species
AACGCACAUUGCGCCCGUCAGUAUUCUGGCGGGCAUGCCUGUUCGAGCGUCAUUACGCCCCUCAAGUCCCCUGUGGGACUUGGUGUUGGGGAUCGGCGAGGCUGGUUUUCCAGCACAGCCGUCCCUUAAAUUAAUUGGCGGUCUCGCCGUGGCCCUCCUCUGCGCAGUAGUGAAGCACUCGCAACAGGAGCCCGGCGCGGUCCACUGCCGUAAAACCCCCCAACUUUUUAUAGUUGACCUCGAAUCAGGUAGGACUACCCGCUGAACUUAA